rnacentral:rRNA from 1 species
CCACGCCGUAAACGAUGAGUGUUAGGUGUCUGGAAUAAUCUGGGUGCCGCAGCUAACGCAAUAAACACUCCGCCUGGGGAGUACGCACGCAAGUGUGAAACUCAAAGGAAUUGACGGGGACCCGCACAAGCAGCGGAGCAUGUGGUUUAAUUCGAAGCAACGCGAAGAACCUUACCGGGGCUUGACAUAUAUCUGACCCUCUUAGAGAUAAGAACUUUCUUCGGAACAGAUAUACAGGUGGUGCAUGGUUGU